GGCGAGUGGCGAACGGGUGAGUAAUACAUCGGAACGUGCCCAGUCGUGGGGGAUAACUACGCGAAAGCGUAGCUAAUACCGCAUACGAACUCUGGUUGAAAGCGGGGGAUCGCAAGACCUCGCGCGAUUGGAGCGGCCGAUGGCAGAUUAGGUAGUUGGUUGGGUAAAGGCUCACCAAGCCGACGAUCUGUAGCUGGUCUGAGAGGACGACCAGCCACACUGGGGCUGAGACACGGCCCAGACUCCUACGGGAGGCAGCAGUGGGGAAUUUUGGACAAUGGGCGCAAGCCUGAUCCAGCCAUUCCGCGUGCAGGAUGAAGGCCCUCGGGUUGUAAACUGCUUUUGUACGGAACGAAAAGCGCUGAGUUAAUACCUCGGCGUCAUGACGGUACCGCAAGAAUAAGCACCGGCUAACUACGUGCCAGCAGCCGCGGUAAUACGUAGGGUGCAAGCGUUA
rnacentral:rRNA from 1 species